rnacentral:lncRNA from 1 species
UGGAAUAGGCCCUGGAGCCUGCUGGAGGCUCGUUGGAUCUGACGUGAAAUGGAAGAAUAUUGAGAAGCCUUUCCCUGCCUGAUGCCAGUUAGGGUCCUUAGAGCGGAAGGGCGCUGCACCGUGGCCACAUCUCAUCCUGGCUGCUGCGUGGCGCCAGGAGGCUGUGCACACUGUGUGAACUCCACACCAGCACAGUAGGGCCCUUCUAAGUUCCACCGAAGUUGGCUCUAAGCAAAUACAUGGUGUGAGCUCAACAAAAUGGGAAAUGUUGAUAAAUGAAGCUGCAUUUUCAUGCACUACCCUUGUUAUGCAACCAGUAGUGAUAAGGUGGUUUUGCUUUUGGUGUAAGUCUCAUGUUUGAAACUUGAUUUUUAGUCUGACCAAUGAUGUAUUUGGAUGUAGGAGAAACUGAUUCAAGACAAUUGACUAAUGGUGGAGGUUCACCUUUGAGCACCUUAUUGAUCACUUUAAAGAUUAAACACCAAAGUUUUAAUAUAUUUCUACUAAGGUUUCUUUUCCCUUUGUAUGAGAUGUAAAAUGAUACCCAGAUUCCUGUAUCCAAUAACAUUAUGCUGCUGGUUCGAUCAGCCUUGUAGAAAAUUUAAGGAAAACAAAUUCAUCGGUUUACAAAAAUCUUUUCCUGUGUGCCUGCUCCUCGGUGUGAGAACAGCCAGGGCAGAGCUGUGGUGCCAGGUUCCCAGCUGUGUCCAGGGUACACCCUGGCUGACCAGCUUCCUAUCCUAUUCCUUGUUUUGCGUGACUUUCAAUUUCCUGGCAUGCUUUUAAAAUGCGCUGCACACAAGCAAAUGGCUCCUCAGGCAAGCGAGGCCCAGCAGGCAGCGUGGCUGGACUUUCUGCUCCUCUUAGGCUUGGUCAGUGAGUCACUUGAUGGGACUGGUGUCUUGGGCAGGCUGCUGUCAUGUUUUGUAAACCUAAAAAUGUUUUUCUGUGUUUCUCCAGUUUGAAGAAGGUGAAGAAGGAGAAGAGGAGGUAAGAGACAGGUUUAUGCAGUGCCACUUACCUCCCUGAAGUUGUUUCUUUGGCUUUCUCUGCUUGAAGGUUAUGGACUCACAGGGCUGUGUUAAACCCAUUUUUUGUGACGCUGUCUUUGAUUCUAAGAAUGUUCUUAAAACACUAAGCAGAAAUGCAUAGCAAAUGCUGUGACAGUUUCCAUCGUUUUUGACCCUGCAGUUGGUUCAUGAAAAUGUAUCUUAGAAAAUAAUCAUUUAACAAAAUCUACUUUUUCAGAAUUUUGUUUCUUUCAGGGCUCUCUGUGAGAACAAAAAGAUACCUAGAAAUAAUUCUAAGUGUCCAAAGGAAGUGAUGAGUCACUUGUGGGUAGCAGUAAUUGAUUUCCAUCUAAGGCAGUGUUUUGCUCCUUGUGUUUGUGGAUUGUGAAUGCCACAAGAGUUUAAAUCUUGUCAUUCCAGCUAAUUCUCACUUUUUAAAUACAGGAAUUAGAAGGUGACGAGGAGGGAGAAGACGAGGAUGAUGCGGAAAUUAACCCCAAGGUGUAAUUUUUGUCUGUUAAUCAUUCAUACGUUUCUAGAAGGAACCCAGCCAGCCGGCGGAAUGCAAGCAGCAGUAGGAAGCGGAGGCGGGUGCCUGGCAGACCGGCUGUCGGGACUCCAGGCCUGUGGGCGGGGCCUCGGUCCUUGCCGCAGCACAAUCCCGUGGACAGAGCUUACUCCAUCUAACUCGUUUUCAAGUGCAUGAUUUUCACUUUCACUUUUCCUUUUUCCUUAUUAUUUUGCUUAACUUGUACAGUGGCAACUGAAAUGCAUUUCAGAAAUAGGAGGUUUCGUCCAGCACCCUCUGCAGCCUUGGUGCCUGUAGCUCUGGACUUCCCUGGGCCUUUCCCUGUGGGAGGGCCCUGUAGACCACAUCAGGGUGGGGUGGGGGUCACUUGGCAAAAAGGGCCGAGGUCUGGUGAUGUGGUUCCCAGGAUCUGGAACCUCUCCCACCCCUCCUGCAGUUGGACUGAAUUCUUCCCUUUCAUCCGAAGAAACCCACUUGCUGUUUCCAGCCGCUGAAUCUGCUGAGUGUGCAGCCUGCAUCACCUGCUGUAUGCCGAUCAUCUCAGAAAGGGCUGUGUAGAGUAGGGCCCUGUUCUCCUUAGGAUGUUGCUUCUUGAUUUUUUUUUUUUUUUAGGGGUGGGUCAGGGUUGUGACACACCAGCCCAGGUGAGAGCUGCUGCGGGUCACCUCAUAUUUAUUUAUCCCUUCUUGCCUGUGAGGACUGCGGCUUUUCGCUGUGGCUCGUCCUUAACGUUUCUGAACCACCUUGGUGCCCUGAGCAGGAAGAUGUGCCACUUCCUAGCAGGCGCAAGGCCUGUGCGGAAGAAACGCCGCUCCCUGCCACCAGGGCUGAAGAUGCGAGCCCGUCCUCAUGACGCAGGCGCCACCCUGCUGCCGGAGCCGGGCUUCGGCAGUCUUCUCCACUGAGGGACUGGGCUGGGAAGUCCUGCGUUUCAGUGGAGCGUAUGAGCGUCAAGUCCUGCUUUCUCAGUAGCCCCAUUGCGGGGCCCCACCAUUCAUCCUGUCUGAAGGUCCUGGGUUUGGUGUGACCGCUUGGCGGCUGGUGGGUGGGGUUUUCAAGUGGGUGACGGCGCUCUCCGGCAGCCGGGGAUGGCCGUGUCCGCACUGACCAGGCCUGUGGAGAGUGCUCGGCCUAACCUUAGAACACAUUUGUAACUGAAUACAGUGUUUUCAAUUUGUACAGAAUAGUUAGAAUAUUCUAUUAAAGUGGUGAAACAUUGAGUCAGC